CGGGUGAGUAACGCGUGGGUAACCUGCCUCAUACAGGGGGAUAACAGUUAGAAAUGACUGCUAAUACCGCAUAAGCGCACAGAAUCGCAUGAUUCGGUGUGAAAAACUCCGGUGGUAUGAGAUGGACCCGCGUCUGAUUAGCUAGUUGGUGGGGUAAAGGCCUACCAAGGCGACGAUCAGCAGCCGACCUGAGAGGGUGAUCGGCCACAUUGGGACUGAGACACGGCCCAAACUCCUACGGGAGGCAGCAG
rnacentral:rRNA from 1 species